UCCAGUUGACAAGGAAGAUCUCACUGUCACAGCUGAUCAGCCUCCCGGGAGCACAGCUUUGCCCUCAACACUCCACUGUACAGAUAGAAGUCCCCACUGCACACAGAACGUGUUUAAAGUUGCGGUGCUCUGUGGGUGAGGUGAGGCUGGCAGAUCCCCCAGUCAGAACUCACGGCCAGGGCCGUCUACGGCUUGGACCGGGCUCCCAGGGUUUGAAAUCAAAUGCCAACUCAUCUCCUGAAGUAGAAAUAGAUUUGCAAAGGGGAUUUUUUUUCUUGGUAAUUAACAGUUUGCUUCCACUGUGUGGACUUGUAGCCACUGUUCUCCUUGUGUUGUAAGAGGUGCUGACUUCAGCCCAGAGUGAUAAAGUUUCUGUCAUCACAUGA
rnacentral:lncRNA from 1 species